GCUCCGGUAGAAGAAAGGACAGGGCUCCUCUUCUGCCAAAUAUAGCCAGGUUAAACUCAACUGGACCAAGUAUUUCGGCCUUUCGAGCCGAAGACCCGGGUUCGAAUCCCGGCCGGAGCACCA
rnacentral:tRNA from 1 species